rnacentral:rRNA from 1 species
AGAAUCAACGCUGGCGGCGUGCCUAACACAUGCAAGUCGAACGAGAAAGUGGAGCAAUCCAUGAGUAAAGUGGCGCACGGGUGAGUAACACGUGACUAACCUACCCUUGAGUGGGGGAUAACCUAGGGAAACCUGGGCUAAUACCGCAUAAUACCUUCGGGUCAAAGGAGCAAUUCGCUUAAGGAGGGGGUCGCGGCCGAUUAGUUAGUUGGCGGGGUAAUGGCCCACCAAGACUGUGAUCGGUAUCCGGCCUGAGAGGGCGCACGGACACACUGGAACUGAAACACAGUCCAGACUCCUACGGGAGGCAGCAGUGGGAAUUUGCGCAAUGGGGGAAACCCUGACGCAGCAACGCCGCGUGGAGGAUGAAGUCCCUUGGGACGUAAACUCCUUUCGAUCGGGACGAUUAUGACGGUACCGGAAGAAGAAGCCCCGGCUAACUUCGUGCCAGCAGCCGC